rnacentral:rRNA from 1 species
AAUCAACGCUGGCGGCGUGCCUAACACAUGCAAGUCGAACGAGAAAGUGACUUCGGUCACUGGACAGUGGCGUCCGGGUGAGUAACACGUGGGUAAUCUACCUUCGGGUGGGGAAUAACGUCUCGAAAGAGACGCUAAUACCGCAUAAUGCAGCGGCACCUUAUGGUGAAUAGUUGUUAAAGCGGGGAUCGCAAGACCUCGCGCCUGAAGAGGAGCCUGCGGCAGAUUAGCUAGUUGGUGAGGUAAUGGCUCACCAAGGCUGCGAUCUGUAGCUGGUCUGAGAGGACGGCCAGCCACACUGGCACUGACACGCGGGCCAGACUCCUACGGGAGCAGCAGUGGGAAUUUUGGGCAAUGGGCGCAAGCCUGACCCAGCAACGCCGCGUGAGGGAGGAAAUCCUUCGGGAUGUAAACCUCAUAAGUAAGGGAAGAGUGCGGAAGA